UGGGGAAUAUUGCACAAUGGAGGGAACUCUGUUGCAGCGACGCCGCGUGAGUGAUGAAGGACUUCGUUUCGUAAAACUCUGUUCUAUGGGAAGAAAAGGACUGUACCAUAGGAGAAAGCUCCGGCUAAAUACGUGCCAGCAGCCGCGGUAAUACGUAUGGAGCGAGCGUUGUCCGGAAUUAUUGGGCGUAAAGGGUGCGCAGGCGGCUUUACAAGUUGGAUGUGAAAUAUUGUGGCUCAACCACAAACGUGCAUCCAAAACUGCAAAGCUUGAGUUAAGGAGAGGUAAGUGGAAUUCCUGGUGUAGCGGUGGAAUGCGUAGAUAUCAGGAGGAAUACCGGUGGCGAAGGCGACUUACUGGACUUAAACUGACGCUCAGGCACGAAAGCGUGGGGAGCAAACAGG
rnacentral:rRNA from 1 species